rnacentral:scRNA from 1 species
GCGGUCUUGGGCCGCAGCUGCAGUGUGUCUGGGCCGUACGCUGCAGCUGGCCUGUGUGGACCGAGACUAUAACAGGAGGCUGAUGAUCCGUCCUGGCAGUUGCAGGUGUGAGCAUGCAUACAGCUGUCUGAUGCUCAUGUAUGAUACUGCGCACAAAC